rnacentral:tRNA from 2 species
GGCGGGAUGCUGGAGCGGCCAAACAGGCUGGUUUCGAAAACCAUGCGAGGCGAAAGUCUCACGGGGGUUCAAAUCCCUCUCCCGCCGCAA